rnacentral:rRNA from 1 species
CGGGGUGGAGUAAUGCUUGGGAAUCUAGCUUAUGGAGGGGGGUAACUACGGGAAACUGUAGCUAAUACCGCGUAGUAUCGGAAGAUGAAAGUAUGGGACCUUCGGGCCACAUGCCAUAGGAUGAGCCCAAGUGGGAUUAGGUAGUUGGUGAGGUAAAGGCUCACCAAGCCGACGAUCUCUAGCUGGUCUGAGAGGAUGACCAGCCACACUGGGACUGAGACACGGCCCAG